rnacentral:rRNA from 1 species
AUUGAACGCUGGCGGCAUGCCUUACACAUGCAAGUCGAACGGCAGCACGGGUGCUUGCACCUGGUGGCGAGUGGCGAACGGGGUGAGUAAUACAUCGGAACGUACCUUAUCGUGGGGGAUAACGCAGCGAAAGCUGUGCUAAUACCGCAUACGCCCUGAGGGGGAAAGCGGGGGAUCGAAAGACCUCGCGCGAUUAGAGCGGCCGAUGCCUGAUUAGCUUGUUGGUGGGUAAAGGCCACCAAGGCGACGAUCAGUAGCUGGUCUGAGAGGACGAUCAGCCACACUGGGACUGAGACACGGCCCAGACUCCUACGGGAGGCAGCAGUGGGGAAUUUUGGACAAUGGGGGAAACCCUGAUCCAGCAAUGCCGCGUGAGUGAAGAAGGCCUCGG